rnacentral:rRNA from 1 species
UACGUAGGGGGCAAGCGUUGUCCGGAUUUAUUGGGCGUAAAGCGCUCGCAGGCGGCCUGAUGCGUCGUGCGUGAAAUCCCUCGGCCUCAACUGGGGGUGGUCGUGGCGAUACGGUCAGGCUUGAGGCCAGUAGGGGGAGCGCGGGAAAUUCCCCGGGUGUAGUGGUGGAAUGCGUAGAUAUCGGGAGGAACACCAGUGGCGAAGGCGGUUGCCUGGAGCUUUGGCUGACGCUGAUGCGCGAAAGCGUGGGGAGCGAGUCCGG